CAGCGCAGCGUCGGGAUGCAGCGCCCCGGGCCCUUCAGCACCCUCUACGGGCGGGUCCUGGCCCCGCUGCCCGGGCGGGCCGGGGGCGCGGCCUCCGGCGGGGGCGGGAGCAGCUGGGCCCUCCCGGGCUCGCACGUGCAGCCGCCGGGGCGCGCGCUGCCCGGAGCCCGAGGCGCCAACGGCCGGGACUCGGACGGCGUCUGCCCCGCCGCCUCCACCAUGUCCAAGACUGAGGAGGCCAAGAGGCUGGCGGGCCGCGCGGCGGUGGAGGACCACGUGAGGAAUAAUCAAGUGCUGGGAAUUGGAAGUGGCUCUACAAUUGUCCAUGCUGUGCAGCGAAUAGCUGAGCGAGUGAAGCAGGAGAGUCUGAGCCUCAUCUGUAUUCCUACUUCAUUCCAGGCCCGGCAGCUCAUCUUGCAGUAUGGCCUAACCCUCAGUGAUCUGGACCGGCACCCAGAGAUUGACCUUGCCAUUGAUGGAGCUGAUGAAGUGGAUGCUGAUCUCAACCUCAUCAAGGGUGGUGGGGGCUGCCUGACGCAGGAGAAGAUUGUGGCUGGCUAUGCCAGUCGCUUCAUCGUGGUCGCCGACUUCAGGAAAGAUUCAAAGAACCUUGGGGAACAGUGGCACAAGGGAAUUCCUAUUGAAGUCAUCCCCAUGGCCUAUGUCCCUGUCAGCCGAGCUGUGACCCGGAAGUUUGGUGGUGCCGUUGAACUUCGGAUGGCUGUCAACAAGGCGGGUCCUGUGGUGACGGAUAAUGGUAAUUUUAUCCUGGACUGGAAGUUUGACCAGGUGCACAAAUGGAGUGAAGUGAACACAGCUAUCAAAAUGAUCCCAGGCGUGGUGGACACAGGGCUGUUCAUCAACAUGGCUGAGAGAGUCUACUUCGGGAUGCAGGACGGCUCAGUGAGCGUGAGGGAGAAGCCUUUCUGCUGACACUGCAGGAGCAGUGUGCUCACCCGUGUCCAGCCCACGCCAGGGUGGACAUGCCUCUCCUGGAGCCUUUGCCUUAACGUACCUGCCAGGGUGGAUGGCUGGCCGUGCGGAGGUGUUCUGCUGGUGAAACCUUCCUCAGUCCCAGAGGCAAGAAGCAUCAGGACGGGGAGCCUGGAUUUUCCCUUUAUCGCCCCUGCUGCCUAAUCAGCAGUGAACUGGUCACAGUCCAACUCACAGGUGAUCUGCUUUUAGAAAUCACGUGGAGGCAUUCAUUCCUUCAUCUUAGGGUCUUUGGAAACAGAGAAACUGCACUCUGAAAAGAAGGUGAACUCUGGCCACACCUGCCAUCCCAGCAGCUCAGGAGGCUGAGGCAGGAGGGCUGCAAGUUCAAGGCCAGCCACAGCAAUUUAGGCCCUAAGCAAUUCAGCAAGACCCUUUCCUUAAUAAAAAUAUAAAAAAGGGCUGGGAAUGUUGCUCAGUGGUUAAGCAUCCCUGGGUUCAAUUCCUGAUACAAAAAAAAAAAAAUUAAAAAAGUGAACUCCGAGGCUGCAAGAGAGCGUUCUCAAUACUAAUGCAAUGCACAGACAGAAUGUCAAAAACGAUGAGCACAUGUACAUGAACUUUUGUUUUUUUGUCAAUUAAAUCUUUUCCUUUAAUUUUUUAGACUGAGAGUGAAGAAAAGGUGGGAGCGUCCCUGAUUCUAUACAGAGGGUGACCUUUUACAAGUGUCGAGGGUGAAGCUGGAGCAUGGGAGUGGAAAAGAUGGCCCACUGUCCAACGGGCACAUCUUGCAGACCUCAUGUGAACAAGGCCACCCUGGAGCAUAUACCUCUUGUGUGUAUAUACACACACAGAUACAUAAUGGAUCACCGAGAAGUGGUUAAAAUAUGUGUGUAGGGUUCAUUGAGACAAAGGAUGUCUCAGAAGUGCACGUGAGCCUCUGCCAGGAUCUAUGAUUCUGCAAGGUGCCUGUGAUGAUCAUUGAUAAGAUCAGUUGAGUGAGGACAGGCGGAGUGUCCAUAAGAGGGCCUGGGAAACUCUUGGACAUAAAGCAGGAGUGAUGGGGUCAAACCUCUUGGGAAACAAUCCCAGAAAACUCAUGAAGCUGCUUCCAUCUGACCCCAGCAAGGUCAGAUUCUCAGAGUAAAUUCUAAGCUGCUGGGAGCUGGGGGCUGGGGGUGGGGGUAAGGGAGAGACACAGGCAGGUACUAAAUGCGUAUCUGUCAAUCUCCCUGGACACUCCUGGUGAGUUACCUUCCAAAGCUGCUCAGGUCUCAUCUUGGUUUUUAUUUGCCAUAAAUAACCAGCCUAUUUGGGGGUGUUUCCCCACACAUGGGUCAUGCUCAGGGAGUCACCAGCAUGUCAGAAACACCAGGGUACAGUCCUGUUCUCUACCAGGUUGGGGACGGCGUCUUCCCUACCUGGAUCUGGAGUAUUCCUGUCUGAUGUCCACCUUGACGUCUGGUUUAGUAGGCAGUUUCCUUCCCUUCAGCUUGGCUCCACCUGGAUUAUAAGUCUCAUUUUUGUUGGGCCUCAACUGUCCACCAGGAAAGGAGGGGUCACAUACAGUACUGCUUAGAGCUGGAUUGAUGGUCCUUCUUCCAACUAGAGUGGCAUGAGUAGACAUGGGUCCUGGAUCCCCAAGAUGCAAGGCUGGCCCCGUUGGCUGGAAGGAGGGAGACAGGCUGCUGAAGACAAGUGUUUAUCUGCUUCUCCAUGUCUGUCCCCACUCGUGCCUGAAGAAGGGCAUGCUGGCAGAAGCACAGUCCUUUCCUAGCCAUGUGCAAACGUGUGUGUCAAGAAGCCGAUCCCACCUUGGGACCUGAAGCGCUCCUCUUGCUUUCAGGAGGACAUCAGAGCUGCAGGCAGUUCUUGACUUUCCUGAGUGAAAAUGAAAGCACCACAGGGUCAGACUCUACUGCCCUUCCAGGGGGAGAUUUACAUAUUUUUUUGCUGUGGUUUCUGGCUCCUUCUACAUGAGUGACCGUGGUAUCCUUCAGUCUGUGCCCUGGAGCUUCCUGUCCUGUCCUGCCUGCUGGUGGUAUAUUGUGUAUGGUUGCUUUUGUCAUCCUGGUUUUGGCCCAGGUCAAUGUGACCUGGAACCCCCAUCUCACAUCUGGACUGACUCUCCUGAAUAGACCAUCGGAGGGGAGGGCAGAGUGCUGGCCAUUCAGUUUGGAGGUGCUGGGCCUGAGCCAGCCACCCUGCACAAGCAGAGGCUGGUCUCCAGCCACAGGCACUGGAGAGCCUAGAAUGAGAACCCCAGGGUAGGUGUACGUAGGGUCUGUCACCCGUGGAAUGAGGGGUGUUUACAGCUCUCCAUUUUUCACCAGGUCAAGCUCAGCCUGAAACUUGGGGAAUUCAGGGUACAGGCUGCUCUGUUAUUUUAAGUGUAAUGGGGUCCGCUUCAUGUUCUGGGUGCAAACCUUGCUGCUUUUUGGCAGGUGGCUUAUUUUAAAAUGGACCCCCCACCCCACCUUCUUCUCCUUCUCCAUCUCCCUGGCAUUUGGGGAAACAAGACCAACACAUUUUCCUGCCCAGGCUAGUCAGUCAUGUCCCUCACUGCCCACUCUCCAGACCUGGGGACUGGAGCAAGAGCUCUCUAAGGCACCUGAUGGACACUAAUUACCUAUCUACUGAUAGGAUUUGAAAGCCAGCCCUGGGCUCCCCUCUGAAAAGCCCUGUGUUGUCCCCUCUGGGACAGCCUCUGAGACAGGCAUCCCUGUGUUUCUCUUUUGCUAGCAAAUCAACAAGACUUUCCCCUUCUGUUCUCAUUAUGGGAUGGCUGAACGAGUAGCCAUUUGUUAAAGUGACUUGACCACAGCACAAAAGCAGAGCCCUCCUUCCUGUGGGGUGACAGCUGCCACCUGUGAUUUACCACAGAGGCUGAGAAGUUUCCUCUAGAACAACCCCUUGCUGUGGUUCCCCCACCAGACCUUGGGGCCAUUGAACAGAGGGUGGUACUGAGUGCUGGGCAGAUAGGAGGCUGGGUCUCAGACAGCCCCAAUGUCAGCCUUAAACUCUGUCCACUCUAAGCCCAGCAAGCCUGCUGCCAGCUGAUAAGGGGCCGAUACAACAUGACCCUCUGGAGGUCUUAGAGACUGUUUACACCAGUGGGUUGGACUUGUCUGAUGGGCCAAUUGCAGAGGCCAGUGGGGACCUCUUCAGUGAUGGGAGAGACUUCAUGGACAACAGCAGCAGCUACUCUGUGGAAAUGGAAGAACAGCCUACCCCAGCUGAGAAAGCCAAGCUAAUCACUUAGACAAGAGGUCUCAGAGUGUCCGAAGGAAAGAAGGUGGCCGUCAGAAGCAGGCCUCCGUUGAGCUCCGAGAAAGCAGCACAUGGGAAUCCCUUCCUGAGACGUGAGGGGCGAGCAGAAGACCCUGGUUUAAACUGGUCAGAUCUUAACUCUGUCCCCCAGUGUGCUUCUCCAGUUCCCACCCAAGCUCGAGUCACCUGCCAUUCCUUCUGGUAAAAUCCAAGGAAAACAGGGAAAACCUUCCACUCCAGCUCCUUCAUUGCCCAAUUUCAGUAGGAAGCAGUUGGGAGACGGUACCACCCAUUUUCCUGUAGAAACAGUACAAAUGGCCAGUAAGGGAAUGCUGUGAGCACACACCUAGCUGCUGGACCACAGUGCCUUAUAAAACUGACACUGUUUCUUUUUCUUCUUCUCCCUUGUUUCCCUCCCUAACAGCCAGGAAUGAGAAUAAAAUUGUUCCUGUCCCAGGCUAAGCUGUCCUGUUCUUCUCUGCCUGGAAGUGUCACUGCCCCUGAGAAUAAGAAAACUCCAGACCUGGGAACUUGAGCAUCACUUGUUCUCUAAAGGACACCUGAGGGACACUAAUUGUUUCUAUCUCCUGAUACGAUCUGGACCCCAAUCCUGGCUUUCCUCUUUUAAAAGCCCUGUGUUCCCCAUGGCAGAAUCACAGUCACCUGUGCCCCCCCCCCCGCUUAUUUUACUUUUAUUAGUGCAUUAUAAUUGUUCAUAAUAGUUGGGCUCAUUUUGACAAAAUAAUACAUGCAUGGAAUUUAACUUACUUCAUUUCAGUCCCUGUUUUCCCCUUUUCCUUCCUUUCCCUCCUUAUUUCCCUUCCUCUGCUCCACCGAUCUUCCUUUCACUCAUUUAUUUACUUAUUUUUGACUGGUGCUUUUCCACAUAAACAUACAGGUGGGAUUCACUGUGGCACAUUUAUAUGUGCACAUACUGUGAUUUUGUUACAUUGACUCUGCUUUUCCUCCCCUCCCCUGUCCCUCCUCCCUCCCUCUUGAUGUCCUUUUUCUAUUUCACUGGUAUUCCUUAUAUAUAUAUAUUUGUCAAAUCAACCCAAACAUGUCUUAUUCUACCCACCACAUAUGCAAUUAUAUUUUUAUUUGAUUAUAUAGUGCUGUUUGUCUCAAAGGUGGAGUGAUUUUUCCCUAUGUCUUUAUGAUAUCUGAUUCCCCUUAUUUUGCUGUGACUUCUACAUAUGAGAGAAAACAUGUGACCCUUGACUCUUUGAGUCUGGCUCAUUUCAAUUGGCAUGAUCUUCUCCCCUUCCAUCCAGUUACCAGCAAAUGGCAUAAUUUCGUUCUUCUUUAUGGUUGAGUAAAACUCCAUUGUGUAUGUACACCACAUUUGCUUAAUCCAUUCAUCUAUUGAAGAGCACCUAGCUUGGUUCCAUAACUUGACUCUUGUGAAUUGCACUGCUCUAUACAUAGAAUUGCCUCCAUCACCAUAAUCUGCUGAAUUUAAUUCUUUUGGAUAAAUAUCAAGGAGCAGGAGAGCUGUAUUAUAUGGUGGAUCCAUCCCUAGAUUUUUUGAGAAAUUUUCAUGCUGUUUUCCAGAGUGGUUGCACUAAUUUACAGUCCCUCCAACAAUGCUCGAGUGUACCGUUCCCCACUCAUCCUUGUCAGCAUUUAUUAAUUCAUUAUUAUUUGCAUUCUUGAUAACUGUCAUUCUAAUAGGAGUGAGAUACAACCUUAGCCUAGUUUUGAUUUUAUUUCCCUGAUUGCUACGAAUGUUGAACAUUUUCAUAUAUUUGUUGAUCAUUUGUGUUUCUUCUUUUGAGAAAAGGCUGUUCAGUUCUUUUGCUCAUUUAUUGAUUAGUUUUUUUUUUUAAUUUUUAAGUUUUUGUGUGUGUCUCAAGCUUUUUGAGUGCUUUACGUAUUCUACACGUUGAUCCCUUGUCAGAGCAGCAGCUGGCAGGAUUUUCUCCCAUUCUGUCGGCUCUCUCUCCAUGCUCUUAAUCACAGCCUUUGCUGUACAGGAGCUUUUCAAUUUGAUGGUAUCCCAUUUAUUGAUUCUUGAUUUUAUUUCUUGAACUUUAGGGAUCUGGUUGAGGAAGUUGGUGCCUGCGCCAAUACUAUGGAGUGAUGACUCUGUUUUCUUCUCCAUCUUGCGGGUUUAUGGCCUCAUUUCUAGGUCUUUGGUCCAUUUCGAUUUUACCUUAUGCAGAGUGAGAGACAUAUAGAUAUCCAGUAUUUCUGGCAUCCAGUAUUUCCUCCCAUGUAUUUUUGGCUCUUUGUCAGUUAUCAGAUAGCUGUAAGUAUGUGGGUUUGUCUCUGGUCUUUGACAUGAGGUAUUGUGGUGCCUCCCAAGUUUCUCUUCUUGCUCAGUAUUGCUUUGGCUAUUCUAGGUUUCUUAUUCUUCCAAAUGAAUGUUAAGUUCUGUGAAGAAUGUCAUGGGCAUUUUUAUGGGGAUUGCAUUGAAUCUGUAUAUUGCUUUUGGUAGUGUGGCCGUUUUUACAAUGUUAAUUAUGACUAUCCCAGAACAUGGGAGGUCUUUCCAUCUUCUAAGGCUCUCUUCAAUUUUUUUUUCAUUCUGUGUUCUAUAGUUUUCAUUGUAUAGAUCUUUCACCUCCUUGGUUAGACUGUUCACAAGUAUUUAUUUUUUCAAGUUUUUGUGAAUGGGAUGGUUUUCCUGAUUUCUUCCUCAGUGGCAUCAGAGUUGGAGUAUAGGAAAGCUAUGGUUUUAUUGGUGUUGAUCUUGUACCCUACUACUUUGCUGAAUUUUCACCCCAUCAAAGUCAAACUAAGUCUGAAUAAUAAAUGAGUGAAGAAGAGAAAAAUUAAAAUGAAAGAAAAGUUAUAUAUAUAUAUAUAUGUGUGUGUGUGUGUGUAUAUAUACACACACACACACACAUAUUCUAACCUAUCCACACAGUGAGAGCGCGUGCAUGCGCGCGCGCACACACACACACACACAUCUGUGUGCACAAUUAUACGAUAUAUACAAUCAUGAGGAAUGGAAAACUGUAAAAAAAUAUAAUUAAAAAACAUAAGAAAUAAAAAAAAUAAAAAGUCAUAAUAAGAAAGAAAUGCAAAAGGAGAAUUGGGAAAGUCCUCAAUGAGGAACACAGGGCUUAUUUCCAUGGAGGUGAUCAGAACUGUUGGCGAGGGUGGAGUUUCAUUCUCUAUAUUGAGUUUGGGGCCCUGUAACCCUUGGUCGAGGGCUGGGGUUGCCAAGUCCAGCACCUUUGGUGCCUCACUGUUGUGGCCAGGAGCCAGUGCUGGUGGUAGUAGCUUUCCAUCUCCCAAGUCAGGAUAGGGAGGCUGGCGGCUGGGUGCCAUGGCACACACCUGCUGGGCGGUGCCUGAUUUGGUGGGUGCUCUCUGGGGGGCUAGUGCAGAAGCCUACUGAAGUUCCAAUGCUGAGGUUGAUUUGGCUGAUGCUGGGACGGUUUGGUGGGUGAGAUUUGACCCACACCCUCUGUUGCUAGGGAGGGGGCCAAUCUGUGCUGGAAGAUUAGGUGUCAGGGGCCUCCUACAGCUGGCACUUCUAGGGUGAGGAGUCUAGACCUCAACAGGCUUCACAUGGUCCUCUCCAUCCUGUUCCCCAGGGCCAGACCUGGAGUGCAGACACAGUUGGUUGUCUGACUGGUCACUCUUGCCUUCCAAGAUGCUCAAGUGGGACACCAGCACCAAAAGGCACUCUGUCCUCAUGUCCCCAGCCUGUAUCACCUAGGUGCCCUCCACCUGCUCUUUUUUCAGGCACACUGGUCCUGGCACACUCUGGGCCCCACAACAGGUGACUGCUGCUGAUCAGGCUGGCUACUUCCUGCAUGAGUUCCCAGCCUCCAACCUCUGCUUGCUCUGUUGUCCAGCCCCUCAAAAGUGGUUCCCACCACCAGGGCUCUGAAUCCAGCCAAGCUCUCUGUCCCUCGGCCAGACGGUAUUCAUUGCUUUUCACGCAACAGCUUCCACCACCAUCUCUGGGUCCCUCUCUGUUCCACAGUUUCCUCCAAGCCAGGCUUUAUUAUUUAUUUAUUUUGUAGCAGGGAUUGAACCAGGGGCCCUCAACCACUGAAUGAUAUCCCCAGCCCUUUUUUAAUAUUUUUGAGACAAGUUCUCUCUAAGUUGCUUAGGGCCUCGAUAAGUUGCUGAGGUUGGCCUUGAACUUGUGAGCCUCGUGCCUCAGCAUCCCGAGCCUCUGGGAUUACAGGUGUGUGCCACCACACCUGGCUCCAAGUGAGUUUUAUUCACCUGCUUCCCCCUCUCUCUGCCUGUCUCCUCUCCCCUCAGCAGUGGGCUGGUGGCACUGAUGCCAUUAUUUCUAAUAUUAUGAUCAGAGUUUCAGACUUUGUGUCUCCAUGAUUAUUUUGCUUUCCAGUUGACUCCAAUGAUUUCUCAUAGUUACCACCUUGCCUAGGAGCAGUUUGCCGGCUUUUUAAAUCAUGAGCCGAGGAACUGGUGCAGAGUAUGCCUGUCCUCAAACCUGCCAUCUGCCCAACCUGCGUUUCUCCUUUGCUAGCAAAUUAUUAAGACCUCUUGCUUCUUCUCCAAACCUGUCCUAGCUAUGGGAGUGGCACUGGGCACAAGGCCAAGCUUUGGGGAUCACAGCAAUGCUUGCAGCAGAAUAUUUAAUUAUUAAGAAACUGAUGCUGGGACUGGGAUUGUGGCUUGGUGGUAGAGCACACACCUAGCACGUGCAAGGCCCUGGGUUCAAUCCUCAGCACCAUAAAUACAUAAAUAAAUAAAGGUUAAAAAAAGAAAAAAAGAAAAAUGACGCUGCAUGAAGAAAUAGCAGCUCGGGGUCACCCAAUGCCACCUGUUGCUCCCCAGGAGGAUCCUGUCCACCAGGUGGCCCAGGCAGAGCUGCUGUUUCCAGACUCUGCCCUCUAGUGGCCAGGGGCUGGGUUCCUGGGAAGGGAGUUCUGCUUUCUGAUCAGGCACAAAAUGGGUGCUUAAUACAUAUAAGGUGCUGUCAGCUUUUGCUGUGAUUAGAGAGAAAUACCAGCUUGUAGAAACCCCUGACUGCUCUGAUGACCUCACUGGUUAACCUCACUUAAAAGUGUGCCCAUGGGCAGUGACCUUCCCCCUAAAGGCCAGGCUAGUUCCUGGUCUUCUGUAGCUGCCCACUCCUCCCACAGUGAACAUUAUGCAGAAAGCAAGAGGCUCUGAGAGGUGGGGACACAGGGAACCAUGCAGGGGUGAAGGUUUCUUUAUGCUCUGUGUAUCCCAGACUGGAUGCUGGAGGAGCUGGUGUCCCAGAAAUACCUUGGGCACAGGCAAAAAGCCCAAUGCUGGUGGCUUGCUCUGCCCAGAGGACACAGACAGGCAGCCUGGGAAGCUGGAAAGCUUUUAGAUGGGGACUGUGUCAGUCAAACCUCAUGGAUGCCCAUGCUGGGGAGCCCAGGCUGUGAUCAAGAGCUGACCCCUCUGUGGGCUGGCAGAGGGGUGAUGAGUGGUAGCCAGGGCUUUGUCCUCCCUGGGCUGUAAGGAGGCUUCUGUCCUGUCCCUGUGCCCUGCAGACUCGAGGACAAUGUCAGUGGCCUCGACUUUCACCACCUGACACAGGGUGCCCCCUUUUGCAGGGUUGAUGAUACAGGAGGCCUGGAGGGAGGUUCAGGGCCCUGCUCACUGGCCAGGGGGCCAUUCUACCUUGGUGCCAGUGGAAGCCCCACAGGAAGUAGCAAUGUACUCCUGACUUUUCCAUGAGGAAUGGCCAGCAGAGGCCUCAUAGGGACCUGAUGGUCACCUCUGCCCCACCCCAAAGAGGAGCCUCCCAUCUCCAGGAGGCCAUGCUCUGCACCUGGACUCCUGUCCCUACCUGGUGGUGACAGGACGGCAUCCUGACUUCUUCCAGAGCCUAGUAAGAGGAAGCACACUGACAUAGGUUUUAAUAAGCCCAGGGUCUCAAGAGACUCCAAGUGUCCAGAUUUCAACUGAGAAUCUCUCAUCACACCAAGAACUAGGAAAACGUCAACUUUAAUGAGGCAAUUAACAGAUGAGGUACUGAUGUGACAGAUGUCAGAAUUCCCUGAUGAGGCUCUACAAGUCAUGUUGGAAGAACAUCUAGAAUUCACCAGAACCAUCAGCCACUAAGACUGUGAACCAACAUUCCUGGAGCAUUCCAGCCACCAACAGCAAAAUAUACCUAUGGGACUGUUAUGGUUUGGAUGUGAGGUGUUCCCAAAAGCUCACGUAGACAACUGAGGAAGGUUCAGAGGAGAAAUGAUUGGUUGUGAGAGUCUUAACCCUGAUAGGGUUAACUGAGUGUCACUGAAGUGGUGGGUGUGGCUGGAGGAGCUGGGAAUCAGGGGUGUGGCUGCAGGGUCUGUAUUUUAUAUCUGGAAAGCCAGUCUCUCUCUGCUUUCUGAUCACGAUGUAAGCUGCUUCCCUCUGCCACACUCUCCUGCUGUGAUGUUGAGCCUCACCUCAAGCCCCAAGGAAUGGAACUGGCCUUCUAUGGACUAAGAUGUCUGAAACCGUGAGCCCUCAAAUAAACUUUUCUUCCCUACGA